AUUGAACGCUGGCGGCAGGCCUAACACAUGCAAGUCGAACGAGUGGCGGACGGGUGAGUAAUGUCUGGGCAACUGCCUGAUGGAGGGGGAUAACUACUGGAAACGGUAGCUAAUACCGCAUACCAUCGGAUGUGCCCAGAUGGGAUUAGCUAGUGGGUGGGGUAAAGGCCCACCAAGGCGACGAUCCGUAGCUGGUCUGAGAGGAUGACCAGCCACACUGGAACUGAGACACGGUCCAGACUCCUACGGGAGGCAGCAGUGGGGAAUAUUGGACAAUGGGCGAAAGCCUGAUGCAGCCAUGCCGCGUGUAUGAAGAAGGUCUUCGGAUUGUAAAGUACUUUAAGUGGGGAGGCGUUACCAGCAGAAUAAGCACCGGCUAACUCCGUGCCAGCAGCCGCGGUAAUAC
rnacentral:rRNA from 1 species